UGGAAGACUAGCGAUUUUGUUGUU
rnacentral:miRNA from 1 species